rnacentral:rRNA from 1 species
GAAUAAAGGAGUGAAAAAGACCCUGAAACCGUACGCCUACAAGCGGUCGGAGCCCAUUCAUUGGGUGACGGCGUGCCUUUUGCAUAAUGAUCCUACGAGUUACUGUUACCGGCAAGGUUAAGCGCUUCAGGCGCGUAAGCCGCAGCGAAAGCGAGUCUUAAAAGGGCGGAUUAGUCGGUAGUAGUAGACGCGAAACCUUGUGAUCUACCCAUGGCCAGGUUGAAGUGGGGGUAACACCCCAUGGAGGACCGAAUCGGUAAGCGUUGAAAAGCUUUCGAAUGAGCUGUGGGUAGGGGUGAAAGGCCAAUCAAACUGGGAAAUAGCUCGUACUCCCCGAAAUGCAUUUAGGUGCAGCGUCGCGGUUAAGUGAUAUAUAGGUAGAGCUACUGAUUGAAUGCGGGGGCUUCACCGCCUACCAAUUUCAGACAAACUCCGAAUAGUAUAUCACAUACGCGGCAGUGAGGGCAUGGGUGCUAAGGUCCAUGCCCGAGAGGGAAACAACCCGGACCAACAGCUAAGGUCCCCAAAUAUACGCUAAGUUGAAAAAACGAAGUAGAACUGCACAGACAGCCAGGAUGUUGGCUUGGAAGCAGCCAUUCAUUUAAAGAGUGCGUAACAGCUCACUGGUCGAGCGGUUCUGCAUGGAGAAUAAGCGGGCAUAAGCGUAUUACCGAAGCUAUGGCAGAUAAGAAUCUGGGUAGGGGAGCAUUCCGUACAGCGCAGAAUCGGUAUUGUAAAGUACCGUGGAGCGUACGGAAAAGCAAAUGUAGGAAUAAGUAACGAUAAAGCGGGCGAGAAACCCGCUCACCGAAAGACCAAGGGUUCCCCGGCUAUGUUAAUCAGCCGGGGGUCAGUCGGGCCCUAAGGACAAGCCGAAAACAGGCUACUCCGAUGGACAAACGUUUAAUAUUACGUUACUCGUAUCGAGUGCGACGGGGCGACCUGGUAAUACCUCUUCGCGUGCUGACGGAAUAGCACGUUAAAGACUUUACUGGGCCGGGAGGCAAAUCCCCCGGCGGAAAGGUAAAGUUGAUAGUACACCCAAGCUACGGCGACGGUGAUAGCAAGACUAAAGAUCAGCAAGAAAAACCUCUAAGCUUCAGCUCGAUACGACCCGUACCGGAAACCGACACAGGUGGUCGAGAAGAGAAUUCUAAGGUGCUCGAGAGAUUCAUGGCUAAGGAACUAGGCAAAAUAGACCUGUAACUUCGGGAAAAAGGUCACCGCAGCAAUGCGGUCUCAGAAAAUAGGUCCAGGCGACUGUUUAACAAAAACACAGGACUUUGCAAAAUCGAAAGAUGACGUAUAAGGUCUGACACCUGCCCGGUGCUGGAAGGUUAAGAGGAGAUGUCCGCAGCAAUGCAAAGCAUUGAAUUGAAGCCCCAGUAAACGGCGGCCGUAACUAUAACGGUCCUAAGGUAGCGAAAUUCCUUGUCGGGUA